rnacentral:rRNA from 1 species
CGGCGGACGGGUGAGUAACGCGUGGGUAACCUGCCUCAUACAGGGGGAUAACAGUUGGAAACGGACUGCUAAUACCGCAUAAGCGCACAGUACCGCAUGGUACGGUGUGAAAAACUACCGGUGGUAUGAGAUGGACCCGCGUCUGAUUAGGUAGUUGGUGGGGUAACGGCCUACCAAGCCGACGAUCAGUAGCCGACCUGAGAGGGUGACCGGCCACAUUGGGACUGAGACACGGCCCAA